rnacentral:snRNA from 3 species
CUGCUCACUUCGGCAGCACAUCUCCUAAAACUGGAAUGGCAACAGAGAUUAGCAUGGCCCCCGUAUGAAGAUGGCACACAAAUCUGUGAAGUGUUCUGUAUUUUU